UGCCUUUCAAAAUUUAGAACACAUAUGGAGAAAUAGUAAUAUAUGAUAAGACAUAUACAAUAACAUAACAUUUUAUUAUAAUGUUUCUUUUUUCUUCUAUUUGCAUUGUAUAACUGUAUAUGAGCCAAAGAGGGCUCUAAUAUGAACUGCAAAAAAAACCCCAGUGCGGACUAUAUUUCCCACAAAGAACCGGACGAAAACCGGAAGUGACGCGGUAAGCGCAAAGCACUCUGGAUCUUGUAGUGCCG